AUGGCCAUUUAUCUCUGCAGAAACAGUAUGGCAUUGUCCAUUUACAGAGCCUCUACACAUCAGAAACAACAUCGAACUACCAACUACGUAAUAUAUGAUGCAAUGCAGCAAAAUCAGCAAAUAAAAACCGUCCAUUGCACAUCAGCAGUGUUAAAAAUUAAUCUUGCAGCUAAAUCUAUGGGCAACAGAAGGCAUCUAAGAUGGCCUCGGAUCGAGGAAACUAGGAACGAUCUGAAAGCGAUCACCACAUCGAUGACCAGAGCGCAAGAACUAGAAUCACACAUGAACGCAUCCAAGAUCCCCCACCAUACGGACCAAAAAUCCAUCCAUACAUACAAAGCAGAAAAGGGUGCCGCAGAAAUCCAGGGCGACAGGCAAUCAGCCCAUGAACGAACCAGAUCAAGAAACUGA
rnacentral:rRNA from 1 species